GAUGAAGAACGUAGCGAAAUGCGAUAAGUAAUGCGAAUUGCAGAAUUCAGUGAGUCAUCGAAUCUUUGAACGCACAUUGCGCCCCCUGGUAUUCCGGGGGGCAUGCCUGUCCGAGCGUCAUUGCUGCCCUCAAGCACGGCUUGUGUGUUGGGCUCCGUCCCCCCGGGGACGGGUCCGAAAGGCAGCGGCGGCACCGAGUCCGGUCCUCGAGCGUAUGGGGCUUUGUCACCCGCUCUGUAGGCCCGGCCGGCGCCAGCCGACAACCAAUCAUCCUUUUUUCAGGUUGACCUCGGAUCAGGUAGGGAUACCCGCUGAACUUAAGCAUAUCAAUAAGCGGAGGA
rnacentral:misc_RNA from 1 species